GCAGCACUGAAUAUGGCUGCAUGUGUACUAGAAUUUGGAAUGAUACAGAGAGAAUUAGCAUGCCCUUUGCGCAAGGAUGACACAAAAAUCAUGACUAUGGUAAUACAAUAAA